rnacentral:rRNA from 15 species
GCUUACGGCCAUACCACCCUGAACGCGCCCGAUCUCGUCCCAUCUCGGAAGCUAAGCAGGGUCGGGCCUGGUUAGUACUUGGAUGGGAGACCGCCUGGGAAUACCAGGUGCUGUAAGCC